CAAUAGCGUAUAUUAAAGCUGUUGCGGUUAAAAAGCUCGUAGUUGGAUUUCUGUCAAGUACAACUGGUCCGCCCUCCGGGUGAGCACAUAGUUUGGUCUUGGCAUCUUGCUGGGAAUUGUUGCUGCACUUGGCUGUGUGGCGCAGUGCCCAGCACUUUCACUUUGAGGAAAUUGGAGUGUUUCAAGCAGGCAAUGCCUUUGAACACAGUAGCAUGGAAUAAUUAGAUUGGGCUUUUGCUCCAAUUUGUCGGUUUCUGGAGCUGAGGUGAGAAUUAAUGGGGAUUGUUGGGGGCAUCCGAAUUUAGCCGUCAGAGGUGAAAUUCUUGGAUUUGUUAAAGACGGACUACUGCGAAAGCAUUUGCCAAGGAUGUUUUCAUUGA
rnacentral:rRNA from 1 species